rnacentral:lncRNA from 1 species
CAUCAAGUGACCCUGGAAGAGCUACAACAUUUACAUGCACUCUUUGAGGAACAUGGAAAGAGAGGAAGGCAUCUGCUGGAUAUGGAAACAUUCAAAUGCAUAAUGAAGCAAAGUAUGAGGCCACACAGCCAAAGUAUUGGACAAAUAGAGCAACUCUUCAUGAAAAUAGACUAUGAGGCAGUGGGGAGAAUCCAGUGGGACAGUUUGUGUACAUACCUGCAGUUAGAGUACUCGGAGCAAGCCAAGGCUGAGGCUCGGCAGGCAGAGGCUGCCCUCCUGCUGCCUGCGGUACAGCAGAGGCUGUCAUAUGGGAGGCCCAUGCUACGCAUUCUCUCUAUGCCUGAUGACACCUUAAUCACCAUCCAAGAAGAUGGAGCUAUUUAUUUCUGGUCCCUACAGCUGAAGUUGAAAAGAAAAAAGCCAAUUUUUGUAUGUGAUUUUCAUUUGAUAAGGAUGCUGAGUGCUACAAUUUGAUUUUAU